CCUACGGGAGGCUGCAGUGGGGAAUAUUGGACAAUGGGGGGAACCCUGAUCCAGCGACGCCGCGUGAGUGAAGAAGUAUUUCGGUAUGUAAAGCUCUAUCAGCAGGGAAGAAAGAAAUGACGGUACCUGACUAAGAAGCCCCGGCUAACUAGGUGCAAGCAGCAGCGGUAAUACGUAGGGGGCAAGCGUUAUCCGGAUUUACUGGGUGAAAAGGGAGCGUAGACGGUUACGCAAGUCUGGGGUGAAAGGCGGGGGCCCAACGCCCGGACUGCUUUGGAAACUGUAUAGCUGGAAUGCAGGGGAGGUGAGUGGAAUUCCUAGUGUAGCGGUGAAAUGCGUAGAUAUUAGAAGGAACACCAGUGGCGAAGGCGGCUUACUGGACUGUAACUGACGUUGAGGCUCGAAAGCGUGGGGAGCAAACAGGAUUAGAUACCCGAGUAGUC
rnacentral:rRNA from 1 species